rnacentral:rRNA from 1 species
GGUGAGUAACACGUGAGUAACCUGCCCUUGACUCUGGGAUAAGCCUGGGAAACUGGGUCUAAUACCGGAUAUGACUGAUCAUCGCAUGGUGGUUGGUGGAAAGCUUUUGUGGUUUUGGAUGGACUCGCGGCCUAUCAGCUUGUUGGUGGGGUAAUGGCCUACCAAGGCGACGACGGGUAGCCGGCCUGAGAGGGUGACCGGCCACACUGGGACUGAGACACGGCCCAGACUCCUACGGGAGGCAGCAGUGGGGAAUAUUGCACAAUGGGCGGAAGCCUGAUGCAGCGACGCCGCGUGAGGGAUGACGGCCUUCGGGUUGUAAACCUCUUUCAGUAGGGAAGAAGCCGCGAGGUGACGGUACCUGCAGAAGAAGCGCCGGCUAACUACGUGCCAGCAGCCGCGGUAAUACGUAGGGCGCAAGCGUUAUCCGGAAUUAUUGGGCGUAAAGAGCUCGUAGGCGGUUUGUCGCGUCUGCCGUGAAAGUCCGGGGCUCAACUCCGGAUCUGCGGUGGGUACGGG